rnacentral:lncRNA from 1 species
GGAAAUAUUUCUUCCUGGUUGUUGGCUUGUCCAGUGCUUCUCUGUUCAAAUGUUCAAGGCCCAAACUUGAUGCUUCCCUACGUCUCUUCCUGACUUUGGACUCAUGUAGAUGGAGGAUCCCAGUUCUUGCCUUUUCUCUUCCCUGUUGGUGGAUGGAAUCAGGCUAAGAGGAACAUGGGAAGGUGGGGCAAGAUUAUUUCUGAAGGAACGUCCAUCGCAUGAGAGCAUUUUUAAGGAAAAGAAAUAUUUGAGUUCAUCACUAAAUUCCUGUUUCGAAAAUGAGAUUCUGAGAGAGAGAAAGUACAAGCAGGAUGGGCAGCAGAGGGAGAGGGAAAGGGGGCUGAGCAGGGAGCCCCCACACUCAACCAAUUGA